GUGAAGCCCAGCUUGCUGGGUGGAUCAGUGGCGAACGGGUGAGUAACACGUGAGCAACCUGCCCUCCACUUCGGGAUAAGCCUUGGAAACGGGGUCUAAUACCGGAUAUGAGCUCGCAUCGCAUGGUGUGGGUUGGAAAGUUUUUCGGUGGGGGAUGGGCUCGCGGCCUAUCAGCUUGUUGGUGGGGUGAUGGCCUACCAAGGCGUCGACGGGUAGCCGGCCUGAGAGGGCGACCGGCCACACUGGGACUGAGACACGGCCCAGACUCCUACGGGAGGCAGCAGUGGGGAAUAUUGCACAAUGGGCGCAAGCCUGAUGCAGCGACGCCGCGUGAGGGAUGACGGCCUUCGGGUUGUAAACCUCUUUCAGCAGGGAAGAAGCGCAAGUGACGGUACCUGCAGAAGAAGCGCCGGCUAACUACGUGCCAGCAGCCGCGGUAAUACGUAGGGCGCAAGCGUUGUCCGGAAUUAUUGGGCGUAAAGAGCUCGUAGGCGGUCUGUCGCGUCUGGUGUGAAAUCCCGAGGCUCAACCUCGGGCUUGCAUCGGGUACGGGCAGACUAGAGUGCGGUAGGGGAGACUGGAAUUCCUGGUGUAGCGGUGGAAUGCGCAGAUAUCAGGAGGAACACCGAUGGCGAAGGCAGGUCUCUGGGCCGCAACUGACGCUGAGGAGCGAAAGCAUGGGGAGCGAACAGGAUUGGAUACCCUGGUAGUCCAUGCCGUAAACGUUGGGCACUAGGUGUGGGGCUCAUUCCACGAGUUCCGUGCCGCAGCUAACGCAUUAAGUGCCCCGCCUGGGGAGUACGGCCGCAAGGCUAAAACUCAAAGGAAUUGACGGGGGCCCGCACAAGCGGCGGAGCAUGCGGAUUAAUUCGAUGCAACGCGAAGAACCUUACCAAGGCUUGACAUGUACGAGAAAGCCCCCGAGACGGGGUUCUCUUUGGACACUCGUACACAGGUGGUGCAUGGUUGUCGUCAGCUCGUGUCGUGAGAUGUUGGGUUAAGUCCCGCAACGAGCGCAACCCUCGUCCUAUGUUGCCAGCGGGUUAUGCCGGGGACUCAUGGGAGACUGCCGGGGUCAACUCGGAGGAAGGUGGGGAUGACGUCAAAUCAUCAUGCCCCUUAUGUCUUGGGCUUCACGCAUGCUACAAUGGCCGGUACAGAGGGCUGCGAUACCGUAAGGUGGAGCGAAUCCCAAAAAGCCGGUCUCA
rnacentral:rRNA from 1 species